rnacentral:lncRNA from 1 species
GUCAUACGUAAUCGGUAAAAAUUACGGGACCACUGAGUUUUAACAAAUAUUUAACAGGAAGUAGAAUGACAAUCAGUGGUGCCGUGGGACCCAUGUUUUUUUUUGGGGGGGGGGCAAGGGCAGUACUUUUCCGACAAACCGAAAAAAUUUUCCGACAAACCAAAAAGUUUUCCGGACGACAACAUUUUAAAUCUUCACCCCCCCCCCGUCGACAACUUUGACAAUUUCCGACAGCCUUGACAAUUUUCCGACAAUUUCCGGCAGCAUUGGCAAUUUUACGACGGGUGUCAACAAUAGGGGAGGGCCAUGCCCCCCACCUGGCCCCCCCGGCCACGGCGCCACUGAUGACAAUCACUAGACGUAUGACGUCAUUGACGUACGUCGACGAAUGUUUUCACGAUUUCAUGUUUGUCAACAGAGCCCCCCCCCCGGUAAAUUUAGUUCUACAGCACUGCUGCAAAGCC